GAUGGUAUGAAAGUUUGCAAGACUAGGAAGAAGCUUCUCUCUUUCAUUACCUUGCCUAUUUUUUGGGUGAUAUGGAAAGGAAGGAACAAUAGAAUUUCGGGGGCAUUUGUAUUCCUUCUGGAUAGAAGAGAUCAUUUGUUCAAGAUCUCGAGUAUUUUGUUUUACAGCUGAUAUGCUCUUUCAUGGAGAGGAUUAUAGGGAACCUAAGAAAGUAUUGUCUUGUGGUGAGAUAUAAAUAUAUAUGCUACUUGGGUGGCACCCCUGGUUGCCUUGUUUACAAUUUUCUUGUUUUUUGUCCAAAAGAAUGUCUCUUGAAUAUAUGUUUACCGUGGUGAUAAAUUUGAUGAAUCUCUUUGAAGAUUGUCUCUUGUUUGAGAAACCAGGAAGUUUCCAGGCUUUGGUAUUUAGCAUUGCAUGAUGCUCUUGUUAUUACACUAGUUAAUAAAUAUAGAAAUUAGAGAAAAUAAAUUCUUAUGGUUUGUGUGAAAACACAUCAUACAGUAUAUAGAAGAAUGUUGCUAUAAGCAACCCUAUGUCCCAGCCUUGGAUGCAAGUUAAUUAUAGAAAGACUCCUACUAAAACGAGGAAAGGAUUGCUGGUGGAUUCUGGUACAAUAACCAGAUUCUCCUUAUCAGAAUAUCCCCAAAGAAAAUGCUAAAAUAAUCCCUAACUUUAUAAUUUAACUCCAGCAGGAAUUCUACACUCCUUCUCAAGGGGUUGUAUAUAUUAAACAAACACAGUUUGUGACUCAGUUCUUCAAAGUUGGUUCUUGUUAGGGCUUUAAUGAGUACAUUUGCUGUUGGGGACUUUGUAGGGGUAUAAACUAGCUGCACAAUCCAUCCUCAAUUCUCUUUGAGAUGAAAUGUCGAUCAGUCUCAAUAUGGUUUGUUGAAUGGUAUUGAGAAAAAUAAAUAUUAAUUUUGAUGAAUGACUUUCUUUAAAUUUUCUUAGUAAUUAUUUAUAAGUUUUGAAGUAUUUUAAUUUGACAAGUUCUUAAAACAGGAGCAAGGAACAUGAAAAUUUCCAAGAUGUUUGAAGAAGAAGGAAGGAAUCAAGAUCAAAAGAACAUUGAAGAAAUUUCUCAAAUAAGUACAGGUAAGUCAAAAAGUAAGGCUCAAGAAAAUAAGGUUUAAAAGUACUUUCUAAGAUUUUAAGUUAAUUUUUCAAAUAUGAACUUUUAUAUGAAAAAAAUCCUUGAAAUGAAGUUUGAGAAUAAAAUAUUUUGAAGCACAAAAU
rnacentral:lncRNA from 1 species